AAUAAUUUAGCUAAACAAGUGUUUGUUUUGAAAACAAACGAUAGGUCCAACCUAAUUGGUG
rnacentral:tRNA from 1 species